rnacentral:rRNA from 1 species
CUUAACACAUGCAAGUCGAGGGGCAUCAGGAAGAAAGCUUGCUUUCUUUGCUGGCGACCGGCGCACGGGUGAGUAACACGUAUCCAACCUGCCCUUUACUCGGGGAUAGCCUUUCGAAAGAAAGAUUAAUACCCGAUAGCAUAAUGAUUCCGCAUGGUUUCAUUAUUAAAGGAUUCCGGUAAAGGAUGGGGAUGCGUUCCAUUAGGUUGUUGGUGAGGUAACGGCCCACCAAGCCUUCGAUGGAUAGGGGUUCUGAGAGGAAGGUCCCCCACAUUGGAACUGAGACACGGUCCAAACUCCUACGGGAGGCAGCAGUGAGGAAUAUUGGUCAAUGGGCGCUAGCCUGAACCAGCCAAGUAGCGUGAAGGAUGAAGGCUCUAUGGGUCGUAAACUUCUUUUAUAUAAGAAUAAAGUGCAGUAUGUAUACUGUUUUGUAUGUAUUAUAUGAAUAAGGAUCGGCUAACUCCGUGCCAGCAGCCGCGGUAAUACGGAGGAUCCGAGCGUUAUCCGGAUUUAUUGGGUUUAAAGGGAGCGUAGGUGGACUGGUAAGUCAGUUGUGAAAGUUUGCGGCUCAACCGUAAAAUUGCAGUUGAUACUGUCAGUCUUGAGUACAGUAGAGGUGGGCGGAAUUCGUGGUGUAGCGGUGAAAUGCUUAGAUAUCACGAAGACUCCGAUUGCGAAGGCAGCUCACUGGAC